AGACACGGCCCAAACUCCUACGGGAGGCAGCAGUGGGGAAUAUUGCACAAUGGGGGAAACCCUGAUGCAGCGACGCCGCGUGAGUGAAGAAGUAUUUCGGUAUGUAAAGCUCUAUCAGCAGGGAAGAAAAACCGACCAUAGGGUCGCUAGACGGUACCUGAUUAAGAAGCCCCGGCUAACUACGUGCCAGCAGCCGCGGUAAUACGUAGGGGGCAAGCGUUAUCCGGAUUUACUGGGUGUAAAGGGAGCGUAGACGGCAGCGCAAGUCUGAAGUGAAAUGCCGGGGCUUAACCCCGGAACUGCUUUGGAAACUGAGCAGCUAGAGUGCAGGAGAGGUAAGUGGAAUUCCUAGUGUAGCGGUGAAAUGCGUAGAUAUUAGGAGGAACACCAGUGGCGAAGGCGGCUUACUGGACUGUAACUGACGUUGAGGCUCGAAAGCGUGGGGAGCAAACAGGAUUAGAUACCCUGGUAGUCCACGCGGUAAACGAUGAUUACUAGGUGUUGGGGGACCAAGGUCCUUCG
rnacentral:rRNA from 1 species